UCAGAUACAGAUAUAAGAACUUCAUACUUGC
rnacentral:piRNA from 1 species